ACUCUCUUAGUAUAAAUAGUACUAUUAACUUCCAAUUAAUAAGCCUUGAUAAACUCGAGAGAGAGUA
rnacentral:tRNA from 1 species